rnacentral:rRNA from 1 species
UUUAAAUUGAGAGUUUGAUCCUGGCUCAGGACGAACGCUGGCGGCGUGCUUAACACAUGCAAGUCGAGCGAUGAAGCUUCCUYCGGGAAGUGGAUUAGCGGCGGACGGGUGAGUAACACGUGGGCAACCUGCCUCAAAGAGGGGAAUAGCCCUCCGAAAGGAGGAUUAAUACCGCAUAAAGUUAGAGUUUCGCAUGAAACUUUAACCAAAGGAGUAAUCUGCUUUGAGAUGGGCCCGCGUCCCAUUAGCUAGUUGGUAAGGUAAUGGCUUACCAAGGCAACGAUGGGUAGCCGACCUGAGAGGGUGAUCGGCCACAUUGGAACUGAGACACGGUCCAGACUCCUACGGGAGGCAGCAGUGGGGAAUAUUGCGCAAUGGGGGA